GCGCUUAUGGUGUAAGGGUAACAUGGUCGCUUCCCACGUUUUCGCGGCGGGAGUGCGCGUUCAUGUGACCUGUAGCGGCCGCCCCGGGUUCGAGUCCCGGUGAGCGCA